AAAAUUAGAGUGUUCAAAGCAGGCAGAUCCAAUUUUCUGCCACCGAAUACAUUAGCAUGGGAUAAUGGAAUAGGACCCUGUCCUCCUAUUUUCAGUUGGUUUUGGCAGCGCGAGGACUAGGGUAAUGAUUAAUAGGGAUAGUUGGGGGCAUUAAUAUUUAAUUGUCAGAGGUGAAAUUCUUGGAUUUAUGAAAGAUUAACUUCUGCGAAAGCAUCUGCCAAGGAUGUUUUCAUUAAUCAAGAACGAAAGUUAGGGGAUCGAAGACGAUCAGAUACCGUCGUAGUCUUAACCAUAAACGAUGCCGACCAGCGAUUAGGAGACGUUGAAUACAAAACACCACCAUCGGUGCGGUCGUCCUUGGCGUCGGUCUUUCGGGGCCGGCGCGAGGGCGGCUUAGCCCGGUGGCACCGGUGAA
rnacentral:rRNA from 1 species